rnacentral:rRNA from 1 species
GACGAACGCUGGCGGCGCGCCUAACACAUGCAAGUCGAACGAGCGAGAGAGAGCUUGCUUUCUUGAGCGAGUGGCGAACGGGUGAGUAACGCGUGAGGAACCUGCCUCAAAGAGGGGGACAACAGUUGGAAACGACUGCUAAUACCGCAUAAGCCCACGACCCGGCAUCGGGUUGAGGGAAAAGGAGCAAUCCGCUUUGAGAUGGCCUCGCGUCCGAUUAGCUAGUUGGUGAGGUAACGGCCCACCAAGGCGACGAUCGGUAGCCGGACUGAGAGGUUGAACGGCCACAUUGGGACUGAGACACGGCCCUGACUCCUACGGGAGGCAGCAGUGGGGAAUAUUGCACAAUGGGGGAAACCCUGAUGCAGCGACGACGCGUGGAGGAAGAAGGUCUUCGGAUUGUAAACUCCUGUUGUUGAGGAAGAUAAUGACGGUACUCAACAAGGAAGUGACGGCUAACUACGUG